UCUGCCCAGCAGCCAGGGCGGCGGCAGUGUGGCAGAGCUGCUUUGCCACCGGGUGUUGCGAUUUGGGUGUGGUCCCCUCUCAAGCUCAGUGUGGCAUCCUGGCCGUGCCACGUCAGCGGGGAGAGUGACAGAGACACCACAAUGGCGAUGGCACCUUGCAUAUGCCUGGCACUUGGUGGCUGGAAAGCCUACCACUGUCCGGGAGGAGCCACCACCGUCUCUCCACCCUACGAGCCCUUGACGUAAAGUUCCCACCAGCGGGUUCUCAUCAGAGGUCUUUGCCAGCGAGCGAUCAAAUGGAUAAAGCAGGAAGGCAGCGUGGUUGCCAAAGGAAGGACGCCAUGGAUGAAACCCUAAGAAAAUGGCCUAGAGGACGUAGGCCGCUGACUCCAGUCCCCCGGGGAUGACGACAACACUGGACAAAACCCAGGCCCCCGUCCACGACCAGACCGGGGACGACAACCAUGCUUGUUACAGGCUAAAAGCAGGGAGCCCACCAGGCAAGCUGGGGUCCUGGCAGGUGCCAGCAGGACUUCUGCUCACCCCCACGUUUAUCCUUUGGGUCAGAGCCAUGGCUUCCACGCGUGGUUUGAGCCCGACUUCCCAGCAUGGGGAUAACUUUCUGUGUCCACCGUAAGGACAGCUUUUGCUGUCUCCCAGCCCCUCAUACCCACAGAGCAGUCUGCUGCAGUCGGGGCAUGCCUGGCUGGACGGUGACCCAGUCCAACGGGAGUGCAGACGCAGGGCAGCAUGUGGGUCCGGGAGAACCUUGGGGUGCAGGGCCGCUGUAGACGGUGGGUCAGUUUGCCAGCCCCAGAGGAGAGAGGGUCUGUGGGUCCCGGCGGGUUGCAGCACCGUUCAUGUCCCUGCUUCUUUCCCCCCUUCUUCCCGCACGUCUGUGUUGGAUGCUCCGUGCAUGCUCCGCUCUCCUCCUGGAGCACGUUUCCAGCCUUCACCAUCAUCCAGGCGCGGGCACCUCAGCAGCCUGGUUGGUACAGCUUGCCUCUGCGCAGGUGCGACUUCACCUCCUCCCACACCCGCCCAGUCGCGGGCCGGGGACAUGGCCAAUGACUGCUUAGGAGCUGCUCCUCCAGCAGGGGGGCACAAGAGGAGCCCCCUUGAUCGCCUCACCUGAUGAAAGAGCCAUCAGAGGCUUCAGCAACCAGGAGGCAAUGAAGGCAGCUGAGGGGACGAGGGCCCCUGGAGAGGAUGGGGAAGUGGGAAGCUGGCAGCCUGUAAUCUAGGGGGUGGACUGGAGGUACUCUGCCCGUGGGCGCCCCCCCACCCCCCGGCCUCAGGAGCGGAAGCCUCAUGGUCCUUCUAUCCUCUGCCCAGAGAGUCAAGCCUCGUCUGUCUCUGAACACCUCAGGGGUCCUCUGUGUGCUGGAGUGAGGCUCCUACAAAACUGUCAUCACGGUGACCUUUGAGCGAGUAGGCUGCCAGUGGCCCAUGAAGGAGUAGAGCUCACAGGGGAGAAGCCUGGAAAAUGCCUCCUGGCUGGUCUAAGGGCAAAAGGUGUGUGGACCCCAGCACCUGCGAACGUGAUGCAGAAGCACAGCCGCGUCCGGGGCGUCCGGACCCACAGACUCGCAGGU